UGGGGAAUUUUGGACAAUGGGGGAAACCCUGAUCCAGCCAUCCCGCGUGUGCGAUGAAGGCCUUCGGGUUGUAAAGCACUUUUGGCAGGAAAGAAACGUCGCGGGUUAAUACCCCGCGAAACUGACGGUACCUGCAGAAUAAGCACCGGCUAACUACGUGCCAGCAGCCGCGGUAAUACGUAGGGUGCAAGCGUUAAUCGGAAUUACUGGGCGUAAAGCGUGCGCAGGCGGUUCGGAAAGAAAGAUGUGAAAUCCCAGAGCUUAACUUUGGAACUGCAUUUUUAACUACCGGGCUAGAGUGUGUCAGAGGGAGGUGGAAUUCCGCGUGUAGCAGUGAAAUGCGUAGAUAUGCGGAGGAACACCGAUGGCGAAGGCAGCCUCCUGGGAUAACACUGACGCUCAUGCACGAAAGCGUGGGGAGCAAACAGGAUUAGAUACCCUGGUAGUCCACGCCCUAAACGAUGUCAACUAGCUGUUGGGGCCUUCGGGCCUUGGUAGCGCAGCUAACGCGUGAAGUUGACCGCCUGGGGAGUACGGUCGCAAGAUUAAACUUAAAUGAAUUGACGGGGUCAUAGCUG
rnacentral:rRNA from 1 species